CCUACGGGAGGCAGCAGUGAGGAAUAUUGGUCAAUGGGCGCUAGCCUGAACCAGCCAAGUAGCGUGAAGGAUGACUGCCCUAUGGGUUGUAAACUUCUUUUAUAUGGGAAUAAAGCGCAGCACGUAUACUGCUUUGCAUGUACCUUAUGAAUAAGGAUCGGCUAACUCCGUGCCAGCAGCCGCGGUAAUACGGAGGAUCCGAGCGUUAUCCGGAUUUAUUGGGUUUAAAGGGAGCGUAGGCGGGUUGUUAAGUCAGUUGUGAAAGUUUGCGGCUCAACCGUAAAAUUGCAGUUGAUACUGGCAGCCUUGAGUACAGUAGAGGUAGGCGGAAUUCGUGGUGUAGCGGUGAAAUGCUUAGAUAUCACGAAGAACUCCGAUUGCGAAGGCAGCCUGCUGGACUGUAACUGACGCUGAUGCUCGAAAGUGUGGGUAUCAAACAGGAUUAGAUACCCCAGUAGUC
rnacentral:rRNA from 1 species